GUGGGGAAUAUUGGGCAAUGGGGGCAACCCUGACCCAGCGACGCCGCGUGAGGGAAGAAGGCCUUAGGGUCGUAAACCUCUGUUGUGUGGGAAGAAGGAAGUGACGGUACCACACGAGGAAGUCCCGGCUAACUACGUGCCAGCAGCCGCGGUAAUACGUAGGGGACGAGCGUUGUCCGGAAUUACUGGGCGCAAAGGGCGCGUAGGCGGUCAUUUAAGUCAGCUGUGAAAUGGUCCGGCUCAACCGGAUCAUGCGGUUGAAACUGGAUGACUGGAGUGCUGGAGAGGUAAGUGGAAUUCCCAGUGUAGCGGUGAAAUGCGUAGAUAUUGGGAAGAACACCGGUGGCGAAGGCGACUUGCUGGCCAGCAACUGACGCUGAGGCGCGAAAGCCAGGGGAGCGAACGGGAUUAGAUACCCUAGUAGUCC
rnacentral:rRNA from 1 species